AGGGAACACAAGCAGGGGGAGUGGGAGAGGAAGAAGCAGGCUCAUAGCGAGAAGCCUGAUGUGGGGCUCGAUCCCAGAACGCCAGGAUCACGCCCUGAGUCGAAGGCAGACGCUUAACCGCUGUGCCACCCAGGCGCCCCCCUGGAAACAUCCUUAAGCAACGUAAGUCAUGGCAAAAGGAUUGCAGGAGGUCACACGCGGAGACCAAGGACACCAAGGUGAUCCUCUCUCUUGAAACCUUUGUAACUAUUAAGGCUGGAGUGCCAUUUAAAGAAAAAGGAAGGCAAAGAAAUGAGCUAUAGGAAGCCAUGUUCCUGCUACGUGCUGAUUUACCAUGAAGCUAGUGUUUCAGCUGCAGCGCCCUUGACUCGAUGGACCCUCCCCAGGCUCUGAUACCAGGAAGAAGCAGCACCCCAACAUAGUGGAGGAAUGGAGUCCUGCUA
rnacentral:lncRNA from 1 species